GAGGCUGGAACUCUACACCAGAAGAGAACACCCCACAUCAACCAAACCAUUUUCAUAACCUACAACCCAGGAAGUGGAGUGUGCAGUUGCAACAAGGUGAUACCCAACCAGGAGGACUGUGUAUGCUGAGCCAACUUCAACAUCUCUAAAAAAAAAAAAAAAAAAAAAAAAAAAAAAGAGAGAAAAAAAUAGGAAAGAGAAAAUGGAUUCAGAAGUUGACAAUCUACUGUUUGAGAUUAAAGGAGCCCUCUUCCAAUCUACCACUGACCAUCUGAUCAGAAUAUAUGAUUACCUUGGAAUUUCAGGAACAGACAGAGAAAAUACUACAGGCAAGACCCGUAAUGCUCUUGUUUCACUGAUCAGCAAGUAUAUUGACGGUGAUGAACUAAGACAACUAGAAGACAAUGGGAUGUCAGCAUUGCUGAGUUUAAUGGACAUGAUACAAUCAGUGCAGGGAGUUGUCAAAAACAGCGCUCAAGAAAAGGAAGAUGAGGAACAUGAGAAACUGGGCAGAGAACUGGAACAAUUAAAACUCAUGGUUCAACAGAAAGAAAUUGAAAUCCAAGCUCUGGCUAACAAAGAUGCAAAAAAUAUUGAAACUGUAGUAGUCCAGGCUGCUCCUGUCCAUGUAGACAACCCCUCAUGGAGAAAGGACUUUAAAAUUGCAGGUCAAAUUGGUGACCCGGGGCAAAAAGACAGACUAACAUUUUCCAGCUUGGCCCGCCAAAUUGAAAAUGGUCUCAGUAAAGGCUACCCUGAGUCAGAGAUUGUGGAUGCUGUUAUUAGGGCAAUAGUACCUGGCCUACAGCUGCGUAGCUAUCUAGAA